rnacentral:rRNA from 1 species
AUUGAACGCUGGCGGCAGGCCUAACACAUGCAAGUCGAACGAGUGGCGGACGGGUGAGUAAUGGCUGGGAAACUGACUGAUGGAGGGGGAUAACUACUGGAAACGGUAGCUAAUACCGCAUACUAUCAGAUGAGCCUAGGUGGUAUUAGCUAGUUGGUGGGGUAAAGGCCUACCAAGGCGACGAUCCGUAACUGGUCUUAGAGGAUGAUCAGUCACACUGGAACUGAGACACGGUCCAGACUCCUACGGGAUGCAGCAGUGGGGAAUAUUGGACAAUGGGCGCAAGCCUGAUGCAGCCAUGCCGCGUGUAUGAAGAAGGCCUUCGGGUUGUAAAGUACUUUCAGCGGGGAGGCGUUACCCGCAGAAGAAGCACCGGCUAACUCCGUGCCAGCAGCCGCGGUAAUAC